CUGUUGAUGGGCUGCUGUGCACAGGUACGGAGUGCACAGGGAACCUAGUAGGCAAGAUCCCUGCCAUCGUGCAUCUUACUGUCAGGUUGGCACAGACCUUAAGGACACACCUGUGAUGCUAGAGUAAAAUUUGUAGGAGCUCAGCUAGAAACUUGACGUUGCAGCCAGUAAUGUUAAGCCCAGAAAAGAAGUCUUUCUUUUUGCCCAGGCUGGUCUUGAGCUCCUGGACUCAAGUGAGCCUCCUGCCUCAGCCUGCCAAAGUAAUGGAAUUACAGGUAUGAGCCACCGUGUCUAGCCAAAAGCCCCUCUUUUUAUCUCCUCAAUGUUUGGAAGUAGAAAUAAUUUAUCUCUAGAAAGAAAACAUUCUGUUAACAAAUGAUGGACGAUGGACAGAGUUCAGAGAAUUUUGUUUCUCACCAGUUCUCAUUUUAGUUCCCCAUGAAUCAACUUCUUACCAAUAAUGACCACUUUUUAUAUGAUAAAUUUAAUACUAUGUCUUGCUGUUUAAAAAACUUUAAAUGAAAUUAACACAUUUAUUUGAAUAAAACAAUGAUUCAUGAAUUGGAAGCACCAAGAUCAAAAGAGGUUAUGGGCUCUGCUCUGGAAGCAGCUACCUUUUAUAGGCUGAACACAGAAGCAAAGUAAAGAAAUUACUUGAAUUGCUGCAGUUAAGUGUUUGCCUUAUUUGGGUAUAGUCUGACGGGAGACUCCUAGUUAUAUAGCCAAUCCACUCAAUGGCUGUUUGUGUUUGGUUAGGGCUUUGUUUUUGUUUGUCUAUUUAAGUCGGUUAUAAGAAAUACCUCUAAACUGGGCUUUGGGCUGGGCGAGGUGGCUCAUGCUUGUAAUCCCAGCACUUUGGAAGGCCGAGGCAGACAGAUCACUUGAGGUCAGG